GAUGAAGAACGCAGCGAAAUGCGAUAAGUAAUGUGAAUUGCAGAAUUCAGUGAAUCAUCGAAUCUUUGAACGCACAUUGCGCCCGGUAGUAAUCUGCCGGGCAUGCCUGUCCGAGCGUCAUUUCAACCCUCGAACCACUAUUCGCGUAGCUGGAUCGGUGUUGGGGCAAUACGGUGGAAUACCCGUAGGCCCCGAAAUGAAGUGGCGGUCCCGCCGCGGCGCCCCCAUGCGUAGUAACAUCUCGUCUCGCAUCGGGUCCCGGCGGAGGCCUGCCGUCAAGCCUAUUUUCUAAUUACAGAUGGUUUGACCUCGGAUCAGGUAGGGUUACCCGCUGAACUUAAGCAUAUCAAUAAGCGGAGGA
rnacentral:misc_RNA from 1 species